rnacentral:rRNA from 1 species
AGGAAUUCAAUGGCCGCAGUAUUUUAACUGUGCUAAGGUAGCAUAAUCAUUUGUCUUUUAAUUGAGGGCUGGAAUGAAAGGUUGGACGAAAUACUUACUUUCUUUAAUUUAAUUUUAAGAAUUUAAUUUUUGGGUUAAAAAGCUUAAAUUUAUUUGUUGGACGAGAAGACCCUAUAGAUCUUUAUAAUUUUAUAUUUUAAUAAUUUAGUGAUUAUAUUUAUUAUAAGUAAAAGGAUUAUUUUGUUGGGGUGACUGUAGAAUUUUAUAAACUUCUAUUAUUUUUAUUUCAUUGAUUAAUGUUUUUUUGAUCCAUAUAUUUAUGAUUAUAAGAUUAAGUUACCUUAGGGAUAACAGCGUAAUUUUUUCGGAGAGUUCAUAUUGAUGAAGAAGUUUGCGACCUCGAUGUUGGAUUAA